rnacentral:lncRNA from 7 species
CACAGAAAGUGAAUACCGUUGUGACAAUUUGCGCUGCAUUCCUUCCCGCUGGGUCUGCGAUCACGAUGAUGACUGUGAAGACAAUUCAGAUGAACGCGACUGUGAGCUGAGGACCUGCCACCCAGGUUAUUUCCAGUGUAAUAGUGGACACUGCGUUGCAGAGCGCUUCAGAUGUGAUGGAAAUGCGGACUGCCUUGAUUUCUCUGAUGAAAUAACUUGUCCAACACGGUAUCCUAAUGGUACAUACUGUCCGCCCAUGAUGUUUGAAUGUAAAAACCAUGUCUGUAUCCAGCCGUACUGGAAAUGUGAUGGUGACAAUGACUGUGGAGAUGACUCUGAUGAAGAACUUCACCUUUGCUUGGAUAUUGCUUGUGAAUCUCCAUUCCGAUUCCGAUGUGAAAACAAUCGCUGUAUAUAUAGUCAUGAGCUGUGCAACCAGGAGGAUGACUGUGGAGAUGGAAGUGAUGAGAAGGAGGAACAUUGUAGAGAACCAACCCCAAGACCUUGUACAACUGAAGAAUUCAAGUGUAGUAAUGGAAAUUGUAUUCCUCUACAUUAUGUCUGUGACAAUUAUGAUGACUGUGGAGACCAUUUUGAUGAAAUGGGCUGCACCCUGGAACAGAACGAACUUGUGCAGAAAAUAUCUGUGAACAUAACUGUACCAACUUGAACGAAGGAGGCUUUAUCUGUUCUUGUAGGCCAGGUUACAAGGCCAGUGAAAAUAACCGAAACUCCUGUGAUGAUAUCAAUGAAUGCGAGAUCUUUGGAACAUGCACCCAGGACUGCAAAAAUUCCAAAGGAAGCUAUGAAUGUUUUUGUGCAGAUGGCUUCAAGUCUGUAGGUGAUCAGCAAGGGAAACAGUGUGCAGCUAAUGGUAAUCCUCCGUUGCUGCUGCUGCCAGAUAAUGUGCGUAUUCGAAGAUACAAUAUCUCUUCAGAACAGUACUCUGACUAUAUUGAUAACCAGGAGCGCAUCCAAGCUCUGGAUUAUGAUUGGGACCCUGAAGGGAUAGGCCUGAGUAUUGUAUACUUCAGCAUUCUUGCACAGGGUUCUCAGUUUGGAGCCAUCAAACGUGCUUAUCUGCCCACCUUUGACAGCAGUAGAAACAAUCCUACAAAAGAAGUUGACUUGAAUCUCAGAUACAUAGUUAAUCCUGAUGGCUUAGCUGUUGACUGGGUUGGAAGACAUCUUUACUGGACUGAUGCAGGGACUAAUCGAAUAGAGGUGGCAAAAUUAGAUGGACGGUACAGAAAAUGGCUCAUCUUUUCUCUGCUGGAUCAACCAGCAGCUAUUGCUGUCAAUCCAAAACAUGGGCUCAUGUACUGGACUGACUGGGGAAGGCAGCCCAAGAUUGAAUGUGCCUGGAUGGAUGGACAGCAGAGACGAACUUUGGUCUCUGAAGACCUUGGCUGGCCUACAGGUCUUUCUAUUGAUUAUUUGAACAAUGAUAGGAUCUAUUGGAGUGAUUCCAAAGAAAAUAUUAUUGAAUCUAUGAGACAUGACGGGACAGACAGAACCGUAGUAUUACAUGGAGUAGGCAGUCCAUACAGCCUCGAUGUCUUUGAAGGCCAUUUGUAUUGGAUAGCUAAAGAACGAGGAGAAGUCUGGAAAAAAGAUAAAUUUGGAAAUGGAGAAAAAGUGAAAGUGCUGACUGUAAAUCCAUGGCUUACUCAAGUGCGCAUCUAUCACCAGCAUAGAUACAAUCAGUCAGUGCCUAACCCUUGUAAAGAUGUCUGCAGCCACCUCUGCUUGUUGAGACCGGGAGGAUACACCUGUGCUUGUCCUCAAGGGACUCGGUUUGUUGAAGGCAGCAGCACAGAGUGUGAUGCAGCUAUUGAAUCCCCUCCCACAAUGCCACCAGCAUGCAGGUGCAUGUAUGGAGGAACGUGCUAUAUAGAUGAAAGUGGUCUUCCAAAAUGCAAAUGCUCUUAUGGCUACACUGGAGAUUAUUGUGAAAUAGGAUUGUCAAAGGGAGUGCCUCCUGGAACAACAGCAGUAGCAGUGCUGUUGACAGUCAUACUAAUCAUAAUAAUUGGAGUGUUAGCGGUUGGAGGCUUCUUUAACUACAGACGGACAGGCUCCAUUUUACCAGCGCUUCCCAAACUACCAAGCUUAAGCAGUCUUGUAAAAUCAGCUGAAAAUGGCAAUGGGGUAACUUUCCGAUCUGGUGCAGAUGUAAGCAUGGACAUAGGAGGUUCUGUUUUUGAAGGAGACUCUGCUAUAGACAGAGCAAUGCAAAUGAAUGAAAACUUUGCAGUAGAGUCAGGGAAACAGCCAAUCACAUUUGAAAAUCCAAUGUAUGCAACCAGAGAUAGUGGAGCUGGUGGAACCAGUGAAGUUACAGUCAUUCAACCAACACAGGUAACAGGAGCUGGUAGUGUGGAAAAUGAAAAUUUUGAAAAUCCUGUGUAUGCCUCUGAAGUAUCUCCUGGGCCAAAAGAACCUCCUCCACGUACAGACACACCUCAGGAGUCAAAGUGGAGUUUCUUCAAGAGAAAAAUGAAACAAAACACUAAUUUUGAAAACCCAAUAUAUGCGGAGAUGGAAAAGGAACAGCAACAGGACACAGAAAAUGUCCCUCCUUCCUCUCCUUCACUGCCUCCCAAGAUUACUCUAAAGAGAGACCAGCCAUUAGCUUAUACAGCGACAGAGGAUACAUUCAAAGACACCGCCAAUCUUGUUAAAGAGGACUCUGUUGUAUAAGUAGGUAACUGAUUUAGGGAAAAUGAGACACAUCCAUUUGCACAUAUAUUUUUUAUAAACAGAAGAGUAAGGUUCACAUUCAAAUGCUUUAUGAAAAUAUAUACAUCUUUUAGUCGGUGGCUGGAGAUGUAUGUUGAAACUAUGCCUUGUUUUUUGACAAAUGCCAAUUACUAUUUUUAUGAACAAGUAUCACGGUGUACUAUAUGUAUAUCUUUGCACUGAACCUGUCUGAAAGUAAUGUUAUAAAUAUAUUGUAAAUUUGUAAAUUUUUCAAAGAUUAUCUUGGGUUUUUUUGCUAGUAGAAAUCUGUAUGGAAUUGGUUGCAUAAAGAUAGGGGUAAAUUCAUUAUAGAGGGGUUUAAACUAAAAAUACAAACAAGGUGAGUAUAGGAGUGUUACUGAUUUACAGGAUCUUUUGCAUAAAUAUUUAUAACAGUACCUUUUAAAACUUCUACUGGUGCUCUGGGCAUCCUUACCACCUAUUUUUAUCUUCUGCUGGAUGUAGAAAUGAGUGUCUCUGUUUAUCUUGUGUUAAACAAAAAAUGGAAAAGUCAAUGCAGCAUCAUUAUGCUGAAUAGCUAUCUGUGCAGAAUGUUGUUCCCAUAAUGUUUUAACUACCUGGGAUAAAACAAUCCAUUAAACAUGCUUUUCCACUAGGAUCCAAUUUAAACCACUCAAUUAAUAGUGUUCUUUAAAAGAUUUGAUAUAUUUAGAUUUUAGUGUCAUGAGUACUGAAUUUAAUGAGGUUAUCUCCUGUACAUCAGUGAAAUAGCUCUGUUCUUAGCUGGAGUCUCUGGAAGUUAUUUGUACUAUUAAAUGAAGUAGCUAGAUUUCUGUAACAGCUUAUUUCCGAACAGCAAAAUACAAAAACUACUGCUUCAUUUAAGAAAUGAUUCAGGUUUUUUAAUGUGAAAAUUUAAUUUUAUUGACUAUUUAUUUCCAGAGGUGGACAUGAAUAGAAAGGGAAACAAUUUCUACUAAUGCAGUCUUUGUAGUUAAUCUGCUUAUUUUCAUAACCUUCUAUCAGCAUAUACUGUAUGUCUUACCAGUUUUUCUAUUAAUUAGCCAAGGUAGUUUCCACAGUGUGAACCAUUUGAGGAAACUUUUGAUUACCACUACAGGAACAUGUAGCAUUUCUAACUAGUUACAUAAUUUAAAGAUUCCUAAAUUAAAAUCAUUGAGAUUUCUACUAUUUGAUUGUUUUAUGUCUAAGUUCUCAAAACAUAUACUAUUUCUAAUUAGAAUGCUUCUAAUUAUUUUGUAAUGUACUUUGAUUAGAAAAGACUACUGGAAAAUGAUGCUGCUGAAUAAAUUUAAUAAAUGUAUUAUUUUAU